rnacentral:rRNA from 1 species
UACGUAGGGGGCAAGCGUUAUCCGGAAUUACUGGGUGUAAAGGGAGCGUAGACGGUAAUGUAAGUCUGGAGUGAAAGGCGGGGGCCCAACCCCCGGACUGCUCUGGAAACUGCGGGGCUGGAGUGCAGGAGGGGUAAGCGGAAUUCCUAGUGUAGCGGUGAAAUGCGUAGAUAUCACACAGAACACCGAUUGCGAAGGCAUCUCACGAAUCCGCUAUUGACGCUGAUGCACGAAAGCGUGGGUAUCAAACAGG